rnacentral:tRNA from 1 species
GCUGCUGGCAGUGUGGGUAGCUCAGUUGGUUAGGGCAUGGUGCUGAUAACACCAAGGUUGCAGGUUCGAUCCCUGCAUGGGGCAGCUGCA